CGGUGUUUAACUGGCGUGAUGUGGGACGUCCUACCGGUGGGCUUAGCCUCGCGAGGGGCGGCCCAACUAAUAUCCCGUCGCGGUGCUCUUUACUGAGUGUCGAGUCGGGCCGGUACGUUUACUUUGAACAAAUUAGAGUGCUUAAAGCAGGCUAUCCUCGCCUGAAUACUGCGUGCAUGGAAUAAUGGAAUAGGACCUCGGUUCUAUUUUGUUGGUUUUCGGAACCCCGAGGUAAUGAUUAAUAGGGACAGAUGGGGGCAUUCGUAUUGCGACGUUAGAGGUGAAAUUCUUGGAUCGUCGCAAGACGGACAGAAGCGAAAGCAUUUGCCAAAAAUGUUUUCAUUAAUCAAGAACGAAAGUUAGAGGUUCGAAGGCGAUCAGAUACCGCCCUAGUUCUAACCAUAAACGAUGCCAGCUAGCGAUCCGCCGAAGUUCCUCCGAUGACUCGGCGGGCAGCUUCCGGGAAACCAAAGCUUUUGGGUUCCGGGGGGAAGUAUGGUUGCAAAGCUGAAACUUAAAGGAAUUGACGGAAGGGGCACCACCAGGAGUGGAGCCUGCGGCUUAAUUUGACUCAACACGGGAAACCUCACCGGGCCCAGACACCGGAAGGAUUGACAGAUUGAUAGCUCUUUCUUGAUUCGGUGGGUGGUGGUGCAUGGCCGUUCUUAGUUGGUGGAGCGAUUUGUCUGGUUAAUUCCGAUAACGAACGAGACUCUAGCCUGCUAAAUAGGCGUACCUUAUGGUAUCGCGAAGGCCCCCGGCUUCGGCCGGUGGGUUUUUACUACCAACGUACAAACAAAUCUUCUUAGAGGGACAGGCGG
rnacentral:rRNA from 1 species